GCGGAACUGGCGGAAUGGUAGACGCGCAUGAUUCAGGUUCAUGUGCCGCGAGGCGUGGAGGUUCAAGUCCUCUGUUCCGCA
rnacentral:tRNA from 1 species